rnacentral:rRNA from 1 species
AUUGAACGCUGGCGGCAUGCCUUACACAUGCAAGUCGAACGGUAACGGGCCUUCGGGUGCCGACGAGUGGCGAACGGGUGAGUAAUACAUCGGAACGUGCCCGAUCGUGGGGGAUAACGAGGCGAAAGCUUUGCUAAUACCGCAUACGAUCUACGGAUGAAAGCAGGGGACCGCAAGGCCUUGCGCGGACGGAGCGGCCGAUGGCAGAUUAGGUAGUUGGUGGGAUAAAAGCUUACCAAGCCGACGAUCUGUAGCUGGUCUGAGAGGAUGAUCAGCCACACUGGGACUGAGACACGGCCCAGACUCCUACGGGAGGCAGCAGUGGGGAAUUUUGGACAAUGGGCGCAAGCCUGAUCCAGCCAUGCCGCGUGCAGGAUGAAGGCCUUCGGGUUGUAAACUGCUUUUGUACGGAACGAAAAGCCUUCUUUUAAUACAGGAGGGUCAUGACGGUACCGUAAGAAUAAGCACCGGGUAACUACGUG